rnacentral:rRNA from 1 species
AUUGAACGCUGGCGGCAGGCCUAACACAUGCAAGUCGAACGAGAAGCGGACGGGCGAGUAAUGUAUGGGAAACUGCCUGAUGGAGGGGGAUAACUACUGGAAACGGUAGAUAAUACCGCCAACCAGCGGAUGGGCCCAGAUGGGAUUAGCUAGUAGGUGGGGUAAAGGCUCACCUAGGCGACGAUCCCUAGCUGGGCUGCGAGGAUGACCAGCCACCCUGGAACUGAGGCACGGUCCAGACUCCUACGGGAGGCAGCAGUGGUGAAUAUUGCACAAUGGGCGCAAGCCUGAUGCAGCCAUGCCGCGUGUGUGAAGAAGGCCUUCGGGUUGUAAAGUACUUUCAGCGGGGAGGCGUUACCCGCAGAAGAAGCACCGGCUAACUCCGUGCCAGCAGCCGCGGUAAUAC